rnacentral:lncRNA from 1 species
AAAUACAGAAAUUCUUUUGUCCAAAUGAACAGAGUCUCUCUUAUAUUUGCACGGCGUACCACAGAAUACAAGUUACAACAACAACAUUUAUUCACAAAUUACAAUUCAUAAUAUAAAAACGAUAUCGAAAACCAUCAUUUCACAGCACAUGGCAAUACAUCUAUCAUUUGAAAUUGUUUCCUACUCGGAAGCUUUUUUGAAUCACUAAGAUCACAAAAAGCCGAAAAUUUUUUUAAAAACUGUUUCCCACACGGAAGCCAUUUAUCUUAAAAAAAAAAAAGCUACCACGCGGGGUAAAAAACCGCUUUCUAUAAAUCCACAUUGUUUCUAUAACAGCUUUAUUUAAAAUCCCAAAACAAAAUCAUAACCAAAGUAAAAUCAAACUGAACCAUAAAUAUUCUAAUUAUUAACCGAA